AGAGUUUGAUCCUGGCUCAGGAUGAACGCUAGCGACAGGCUUAACACAUGCAAGUCGAGGGGCAGCACAGGUAGCAAUACCGGGUGGCGACCGGCGCACGGGUGAGUAACGCGUAUGCAACUUGCCUAUCAGAGGGGGAUAACCCGGCGAAAGUCGGACUAAUACCGCAUGAAGCAGGGGCCCCGCAUGGGGAUAUUUGCUAAAGAUUCAUCGCUGAUAGAUAGGCAUGCGUUCCAUUAGGCAGUUGGCGGGGUAACGGCCCACCAAACCGACGAUGGAUAGGGGUUCUGAGAGGAAGGUCCCCCACAUUGGAACUGAGACACGGUCCAAACUCCUACGGGAGGCAGCAGUGAGGAAUAUUGGUCAAUGGGCGAGAGCCUGAACCAGCCAAGUAGCGUGAAGGAUGACUGCCCUAUGGGUUGUAAACUUCUUUUAUAAAGGAAUAAAGUCGGGUAUGCAUACCCGUUUGCAUGUACUUUAUGAAUAAGGAUCGGCUAACUCCGUGCCAGCAGCCGCGGUAAUACGGAGGAUCCGAGCGUUAUCCGGAUUUAUUGGGUUUAAAGGGAGCGUAGAUGGAUGUUUAAGUCAGUUGUGAAAGUUUGCGGCUCAACCGUAAAAUUGCAGUUGAUACUGGAUAUCUUGAGUGCAGUUGAGGCAGGCGGAAUUCGUGGUGUAGCGGUGAAAUGCUUAGAUAUCACGAAGAACUCCGAUUGCGAAGGCAGCCUGCUAAGCUGCAACUGACAUUGAGGCUCGAAAGUGUGGGUAUCAAACAGGAUUAGAUACCCUGGUAGUCCACACGGUAAACGAUGAAUACUCGCUGUUUGCGAUAUACAGCAAGCGGCCAAGCGAAAGCGUUAAGUAUUCCACCUGGGGAGUACGCCGGCAACGGUGAAACUCAAAGGAAUUGACGGGGGCCCGCACAAGCGGAGGAACAUGUGGUUUAAUUCGAUGAUACGCAAGGAACCUUACCCGGGCUUAAAUUGCAGAUGAAUUACGGUGAAAGCCGUAAGCCGCAAGGCAUCUGUGAAGGUGCUGCAUGGUUGUCGUCAGCUCGUGCCGUGAGGUGUCGGCUUAAGUGCCAUAACGAGCGCAACCCUUGUUGUCAGUUACUAACAGGUUCUGCUGAGGACUCUGACAAGACUGCCAUCGUAAGAUGUGAGGAAGGUGGGGAUGACGUCAAAUCAGCACGGCCCUUACGUCCGGGGCUACACACGUGUUACAAUGGGGGGUACAGAGGGCCGCUACCACGCGAGUGGAUGCCAAUCCCAAAAACCUCUCUCAGUUCGGACUGGAGUCUGCAACCCGACUCCACGAAGCUGGAUUCGCUAGUAAUCGCGCAUCAGCCACGGCGCGGUGAAUACGUUCCCGGGCCUUGCACACACCGCCCGUCA
rnacentral:rRNA from 1 species